rnacentral:lncRNA from 1 species
UACACUGCAAGGCUGACAUGAUACAUGGACUGGAUUAGUGACAUCUCCGAGUGUAUAAAAAGGCUACGACUAUCUCCAAAUGAAUGUAAAGGCUAUGGCCAUCUUCAGAUGAAUGUAAAGGCUACUGCCAUCUCCAGAUGAAUGUAUAGGCUACGGCCAUCUCCAGAUGAAUGAAAAGUCUAUGACCAUCUCCAGAUGAAUGAAAAGGCUACGUCCAUCUCC